UGCUCGGUAGUAAUGUCCGAUGACGUGGGGGAGACAGAAGUGAGUAUAUCCUCUGGUGGAUUUGGACGCGUUCGAAAUCGUCGAUCUGAUAGAGCACGUGCUCUAAUGACGAGAGAUUGGGACUAUAUAGGAGCCAAGGUAACGUUUCGACAUUGUUUUAGUGAAGAUAAUCCAUUGCACGUCGCGCCAUCUGACACCGGAUAUUGUCUUGUUGAAUAUAAGUUGGGUAAACGGCACGACAACAGGAUGCAGAAGGGUGCCAAUGUACCUUUGAGCUGUUAGAUUACCUUCAACGAUGACCAAACGGAUUUACAGCGGCAACAUAUCCCGCCCCACACCAUAACGCUACCACCACCACCAAACCACGCAUUCCACCGUUAGGAGAGGGACUUGAAGUCAGCCAUUAUGACGAUGUAGAGUACUACCUUAAAUGCAUGUCCAUGAGAAAACCACGCAGAGGGCGCUGAUAGCAAGAUUGCUUUGUCUCUACGAUUUUUCGUCUUCUCGCCUGCCAUUCAAACGCUAUACUCUUCCUUCCUUAGAAUAAGGAGAGUUCAGGAAGGGGAGGGUUCUACAGCAUUCCAAAGAAAUGAUAAUUUACACUUUAUCGAUUUAAUUCAUUUUAGACAACAUUUUUUGAACUGAAAUCUUUAAAACAAAAAUAAAUAUUUUCUAGAACAAUUCAGAAGCUUUCUUAAAGCAUCCAGCAUGAGUGGAAGAAAACAUAACCCAUUUGACCAGAAUAAACGUCUAACGAAUUGUGCACUAAGUUUUUCAAAGAGACAACCCCUUCUUAUUUGUAAUAUAAAAGAACAAAAUAGGCCAAUGAUGAACAAAUAUAUGGACUGGACUGGUAAAUGAGUCCAAUAACAGCACGACUAUCUAAUUGUCUUAAAUGGGAUAUAAAGGAUAUUAACUCAAUGUUUGUUUAUACGGAAUCUAAUCAUACUUUCGUAAAUCUAGACUUAUCUAAAUAUGUAAUUGUGUAUGAAUAAUUGGUAUGCUAAAUAAGACUGUCCAUUAAGUAAAUUCCUUAUUAUCUAAAUAUGUAAUUGUGUAUGAAUUUGGAGUGCUAGAUGUGUCUGUCCAUUCUAAUAACAAACGACUGCGUUCAACUUUCAUACCAUUCUUACCCGAAACUGUUCGUUCUGUAAACUGCAGUAUCUAUGACAACCUUUAAACGACUGCAGUCAUGUUUGUAUGUUUUG